rnacentral:lncRNA from 1 species
UUUUUUUUUAUUAUAGUUGAUUUACAAUAUUCUGUCAAUUUCUGCUGUACAGCAAAGUGACCCACUCAUAUAUACACACACACAUUUUCUUUUUCUCACAUUAUCCUCUGUCAUGGUUCAUCACAAGUGACUAGAUACAGUUCCCUGUGCUACACAGGAGGACCUCACUGUUUAUCUACUCCCAAUGCAAUGUUUGCUCAUGUUCAUUGCUAUAUAGUAUUCCACUGCCUGUAUAGAUCAUUAUUUAUUUAGUCAAGCACUGAGCGAUAGUUUGGAGUUCAAAGUUCAAAGUGUGGGGCUUUUACAAAGUGCAGCUGUCAAUAUUUUGACGGGGUGGGGGUGGGGUCACGCGCAUAGCAUGUGGCACUUGCCAGGCCAGGGAUCAAACCACACCACAGCAAUGACCUGAGCCAUAGCAAUGGCAAUGCCAGAUCCUUAACCCGCUAAGCCACGAAGGGCUCCCAGCUGUGACUAUUCUUGUCGUAAGUACGCAUUUGUGUCGGAAGAGAAUCACUCCAUCACGGAGAGUGCAUGUGUUCACAGAGCGAGGCACAAGCGGACUGCGGUAGCCCCUUGCUUAAACCCUCCCUGGCUCCCCAGUGGCUUCAGCAUAAAGUCACAACUUCUGGAAUUUCAACGCACAUGGGCCCUGCCUGUUCUGGCGUAUUCUCUGUCUCCUUCCUUCCUCCACCUCAAACCCUGCUCUUGGACGGGCUCCUUUCCCACCUCGCUGAACCUCUGUUCCCUUCUUGGGACCUGCCGAGCCUUUUCUCUGCCAAGGCCCCCCCCCCCAUUUGACAGGCUGCAGCUUCCAACUGGCCAGUUCUUACUUGCUCUUUCUUGUUUUUUGGUUUUUAGGGCCACAUCCACGGCAUAUGGAGGUUCCUAGGCUAUGGGUCCAACUGGAGCUACAGCUGCCUGCCCACGCCACANACCACAGCAACUCGGGAUCUGAGCCUCGUCUGCGACCUCCACCACAGCUCACAGCAAGGCCGGAUCCUUAACCCACUGAGUGAGGCCAGGGAGCGAACCUGCAACCUCAGGGGUCCUAGUCGGAUUUGUUUCCACUGUGCAUGACGGGGACUCCCUUACCCAUUCUUUAUUUUGUAGACCAAACAGAAUUUCCUCAAAAAGGCCUCUCCCGACCCCACUGUAAAAGAAUAAUCGCUGUCCCUGUCACCCAUUGCCCGCUGUCCCUGCCGCCCACUGCCCGCUGUCCCUGCCGCCCAUUGCCCGCUGUCACCCAUUGCCUGCUGUCGCUGUCACCCACUGCCCGCUGUCCCUGUCGCCCAUUGCCCGCUGUCCCUGUCGCCCAUUGCCCGCUGUCGCUGUCACCCAUUGCCCGCUGUCCCUACCGCCGUGCCCCGGAGACCAUGAGCAAAGGGACUGGCACUGCUGGCAUCCCCGCUGGAUCCCCCACACCAGGCACUGCGCAGGGACACAGUAGGGGCUCAAUAAAUAACAAUACUCUUCUCUACGGAUCAGAUAAGAGAUGACGCAAGGCCUUGGAGUCGCAGAGUCCGCUGCUCUUGUGCCUUGAGGCAACUUCCCUAAACUCCCUGGGCCUCCGCUUCCUACUCUGUGAAACAGGGAUAAUCCUGUGGCCUGGAAACACACACGCACACCACUGAGAAAGGGUCGGCCACGUGUCAGUGCCACUGCAGCAGUGGCUUCGGCGCUCCAGCUCUUUGGAGCCUUACCACAACCCGGGGGGCAGGCAGCCUUUCCUUAGCGAUGAGGAAACGGAGCAACUCAAGUCCCAGGGGGUUCAAUAGUCGGCCCAGUAAUUCUGGCUCCAAGUCCCGGGCCUCCUCCGCGACAGGGCUGGCAGGGGUGGCAUGAGAAAGACAAUGAAAACAGAGAAGGGCCCGUGGUGAGCUCCAGACAGCCAAGAGCCUGACUCGCUCCUGUCCCUUUGACGGCCACUCAUCUCCGCGAAGCCCAAAGAUUCCGAGCGCAGCAUGACAACCCCUGGGCUACACAAACACCCGUGGCUAUUAAUAGCUAGGAAGGAGAAAAUAGAAAGAUCCCAUUACAGAACAAUUUCAAACUUGUAUACAACAAACGACAUCACAAAUGAGGUCAAAAGACAAAUGAGAGUGUGGGAGAAAGGAUGGAGACCUCACAGAACAGAGGCUCGGCCUGGGGUGGACACGCUUCCGCAGAUAAACAGGAAACACACACACGACCCAGUGGGAAAACAGGCAGACUGGGGACCGUACGCCAGGAGGAAAUGACCCACGGCGCAGAAGCGGGGAAACGAAAAUUAAAUGACGAGCUCCCGAAGGUCUGCCGGUACUGGCAGAAAUGAAAACUACUGGGGACAUUCACGAGUGAUGAAGGCACAAGAAAACCAACCCUGAGACCCGCCACGGGGCUGUGAAAAAAUUAGAGGCUUUUAGGAAACAUUCAGAAGUGAAAGAAGUGAAAGAAAGGAGAGAUGGUGCUACAGAUUGAUGACAGAUAAAAACACGGACAGACACAAAGGCAGUCCCUACGAGGUUUCUUUUUGCAAUUGACAAGAACCUAGAAACACCCCGAGGCAUCACACAGUUGUGCGUUAACGGAGCUAAAAACGCCGAACUCCGAACGUGCCGACCUCCCAUUACUUCCAAACAUAUGAAGUAAAACAGAAUGUUAAGGAAUCAUUUCUUUGGUUUGAGCCUAUUUUCGUGGAAAACAAAAAUAGGCAUAACCAAAUCACCUUGAACAGUUCUUGAAGCAGAGAAGAAAGCCGGAAAAUCUGGAGUCCAGGUUGUGGUGCAGGGGAGACGAAGCCAACUAGGACCCAUGAGGAUGCAGGAUUGAGCCCCACCCAGCCUCGCUCAGCGGGCCGGGGAUCCAGUGUGGCCGUGAGCUGUGGCGGAGGCUGGCAGGUGCGGCUCCGAUUCCACCCGCUGGCCUGGAAACACCCAUAUGCAGUGGGCGUGGCCCUAAAAAGCAAAAAUAAAUAAUUUUAAAACAAGAAAGUAGGAGAAUCAAAUUUCUGAUUUGGAGGGAGUUUUGCUUCAUAUACAUCGUUUAAGUUUGAACGGUUGCCAUGGGCAUGUAUUUUAUUUAAAAAUUAAUGAAUAAGCCCUGCCCACUAAUCACGACUUAUAAGCGUGGCCUGCCUGUCUACUCUCUCAUGAACCCUGUCCUGCUUUUUUCGCACUGACUUUGCUUCAGUUCCUACAAGUAAGCCGCUGGCUGGAGAGAAGGGGUCAUUGGCCUCUGAACAACCUCCGCUGAGGAACCUCUUGGCUGCUCUGCUGCCCUGGUUUUCAGGGGGAGGAAACCGGUAUCGUUACUCUUCUAAGAAGAAAUGUAUGUUCUGAGCAUGCGAUACCACGUGUAGUGGAAAAUCCAAAGCGAACAGGAGCAGGUGGUGACAAGCGAGUCCCUGCCGCCCGGCUCUAGGCCAGUGUCCGGGUCCUUUCAGAGGUGGUCCCGGCAGACACUAGCACACGCGUGUGUAGAAUCUACUUUUUCUAGGAACACAAAUGCUGUAAAUGUCUUUAUACACGGAAAAAUCUUUCUAAAGGAAGAUGCCUUUUGAUCUUUUGGAGCCAGAACCUGAUUAGUUCCAAGGUUGCACUUCUUUCCUGCUUGAGAAGCCACACCUCCCCCGCAGAGGCAGUGACUCCAUCAUUCGUCCGUCCACCAGUCUGUCUGUUGGUCCAGCCACCCAUCCAUCCACAUCCGCUAAUGAGUGUUUGGUGAGCACUCACUGUGGCCCGGACACUAGGCUACAGGCUGGAGAAAAAAGUGGUGAAAAGAGAAGCUCCUGUCGUGGCUCAGCGGUUAUCAAACCCGACUAGGAACCAUGAAGAUGAGAGUUCGAUCCCUGGCCUUGCUCUGUGGGUUAAGGAUCCGGCGGUGCCGUGAGCUGUGGUGUAGGUCGCAGACGCGGCUCAGAUCCCGUGUUGCUGUGGCUGUCGUGUAGGCCAGCAGGUGCAACUCCGAUUUGAUCCUUAGCCUGGAACCCGCCACAUGCCUCGGGUGGCACCCCCACAAAAAAAAUGGUGAAAAGAUAAGGUCCUUGCUCUCAGCCAGCUGGCCUGCCGGGGACAUAACAAAUUGUGUAGAAGGAAACAAAUAAUAGAAGAAAAGGAACACAGUUCAGACCACGGGAAGGGCCCUGGGGAGAUUCGCUGUCAGUUGGGGGGGCGGGCAGAGGAGGAGAGAGGGGAGAAAAGGGGGGCGCUGUUAUGGAUGGAGUGGCAGGAAGAUCUCCCUCAGGAGGUGACAUUUCGUCUAAGAACUGAAUGACAAGAAGGAGCAGAUGCUGCCGGGUUCCUGGCUCUGAUGACUUUCCAGCGAGCGCUUUCCCGGGCAGAGCUUCAGGCCGCGCUGAGCGGCGAAGGGGGCGGGGAGGCGCUCAUCUGACCCCACCUCGGCCACCGAAAGCCAGGGGGCCUUGGGGACGUGACUGAAGCUCUCCACGCCUCAGUUUCCUCACCUGGAAUAUGACGCCACCUAAAAGCAGUAUCCGUCGAACAGCAUGCCACUGAAAAUUAAAUGGACGGAGCAACGCGGGCUGCCCAGGCUGGCACGAAGAAAGGGAUCCCAAAAUAAUCACGUUAAAAAAUUAUUGUUAUUCUUAUUAAUGUAUUUAUUAUCUUUUUGUCUUUUCUGAGGCCGCACCCAUAGCCUGUGGAGGUUCCCAGGCCAGGGGUCCAAUCGGAGCUGUAGCCACCGGCCUCGACCAGAGCCACAGCAACGCCGGAUCCGAGCCUCAUCUCCGACCUGCACCCCAGCUCACGACAAGGCCGGAUCCUUAACCCACGGAGCGAGAGAUAAACCUAUUUAUAAAACAGAAACAGACUCACAGACAUGGAGAACAGACUUGUGGGUGUCAAGGGGGAGGGGGAGGGAGCGGGGGGGGACGGGGAGUUUGGGGUUCGCAGAGGCAAACGAUGACAUUUAGGAUGGAUAAGCAGUGAGGUCCUGCUGCGCAGGGAACUCUACUCAGUCUCUUGGAACAGACCUUGAUGGAAGACAAAGUCGGCAAAGGACACACAGACACACAGCCAUGACUCGGUCCCUCGGCCAUACAGCAGACACUGGCACACUGGCUAGACUGUGAUAAAAACAUUUAGAAAUCCUGCCUCUACCAAAGACACCGUAAGCGCAUAGAGACACGUUAUAAUCUGGGAGAAAAUAUUUGCACAUCAC